GAUUUCUGGCACGGUGUGCCUGGCCCGCGCCGUUAGGUUGUGAGUGCUAGGUCGCGCCUGCCAUCCUUCUAGACAGCGGCUCUAUCCCUCACGGGACCGGAGUUCGCCAUCUAGAUCUUUUACUUUGAAAAAAUUAGAGUGUUUCAAGCAGGCUUUUGCUAUGAAUACAUUAGCAUGGAAUAAUCAACUAGGACUUCGGUUCUAUUUUGUUGGUUUCUAGGACUGAAGUAAUGAUUGAUAGGGAUAGUUGGGGGUGCUAGUAUUCAGCGGCCAGAGGUGAAAUUCUCGGAUUCGCUGAAGACUAACUAAUGCGAAAGCAUU
rnacentral:rRNA from 1 species